ACAUUGUACAAACGUGUUUGGACCAGGUAAAUAAAUGAUUAGCACUAUGCAAUAGGGUUGGGAAAUGACGAUACAUUGCCUGCAAUUAAAUCACUAAAAGUGAUUUUGUGAUAUAUUGCAAGACAGUCAUCUGUGAUACAUUACAAUGUUUGUAACUUAAGAAAAGGGGUAGACUAUGUGUGAAAAAAAUCCAAAAGUCUAGGAGUUUCCUGUAUUUCAUGUGAGGCACAAACCAGGAAAAGGCCAAACGGUUCAGAAACAUUUUGGAGUAAAAGAAAGUUGCAGCAUGGUCUCAGUAUCACAGGAGAUUGUAUUGUGAUAUAUAACUGUAUCGAUUAUUUGUCCCAUCCCUACUUGGCAGCUCAUAACUUACAUUAAGUACAUUAAAGUCUGCAUGCUGUCUUCCCUCGAACCAAAAAGGGUAUAUCACGAAAAGGCUUGGAUGAAAGGUAGCUGCCAAACAAAGUGAAAUUGAUGGAGUGUCCCAAAUCUAUACUACAUGCUGAUUCUUAGCAGGGUUUGAGUAUGUAUACCCACAUACUCAACCCAGACAGUAUGUACAUAUAUAAAUACCACUGCUCACAAGUGGAAAUAAUUUAAUCUUGGAGGAUAAUGAGAUUCCUGAAAUAUCUUAAAAAACUAAAAGGAAUUACUUCAAAAAUAAAUGCUUUCUCUGUGAAGUUUAACUGGCAGUGAUGGCACCGAUAUCAGAUGUAUUGAAUAACGUUGCUAAAACAGUAUUAUAUGUCAAUUAGUAGCCAUUGUAGUAUAUACUGUAUGAGAUUGUGAUAUUUUUUGGAUUUGGGAAAGUUUAAAAUGUAAAAUUAGUCUUUGUAAAUAUGUCAUUAUCAGAUCAAUUACAAUGCCACACUCUGUCAAAAGACAGAAAAGCCCAAGACAUCUUUUUCAUAUAAUAUAGUUCAGGACAAUUUGGUUUCAUCAUGAUUUACUAAACGCAUGCCGCCUCAGCUUCCAGUUGUCACUAAUGCACGUUUAAGAAAAGACUGGCACCAUUGAGCAUGUAGCAUGAGAUCCUCCUCAAAGCCACCACAGCCAUGUUAGCUCAGGGGAUGAGGAAGGGGAUGUGUUACUAUGAUGCUUCUCUUCAUGUAAAUAUGUUUGUAUAUGUAUAUAUUGUAAGAUGGGCACGCUCAGUGAAGGUUUUCUUCGGUGUGACUGUACUUUGAUCAAGUUGUUUGCUUUGCUUUUGUGCUAAAUUGUAGUUUUUAUAUGUGUAAUUCUUUAAAAAAAAGCUUUUUAUUUUAAAGUUGGGAUAUCUUGAUUGACUCAGAGCUGCAUGGGUGUGUGCUGUUCACAUGUAGCUCUGAUGUGUUUAUGUGUGACAGAAGAUCUUGGUCAAAGCUGUCCAAUGUCCGUGAGGUGUAAUGCGUUGCCGUGGGUGGCACUGGAGCUUGGUUUUAUGGGCUUUUAUGAUGGUGGAAGAACAUUUUAAAGAACAAUAUUAUGUAAGAUGUUUAUUUAGUUUUUCUGUCUGAGUUUUCCUGGUUGCCUCUGUUCCAGCCUUUGGAAGCAUGUUUGGCUGAUUCAUGUCCACUGGGAGUUCGUCUUAAAAGGUGCUGCGCCCUGUUUCACUGAUUUCGAGGUUGAUGGCAGUUCUGGGUAGGAAGUUUUCAGAAAAAACAACACUGAAACUAGCUGACUUUACGCUAAGGCUGUUUGUUUAAUGUUGCUCAUCUGAGCCUAAAAGUCUGCUACAUUGCAGACAUUGAUGUUUUCAUCUUCCUGUUACCAAUAAAACAAGCAUCUAUUUGUGGUUCCCAAACCAGCUUCAUCCACAUACGUGUGAUAGCUGCAUAUGUAUUGAUAGUGAUAAGAUGUAACUUAUCCAGAGAAAACAAGGAAAUUGGUCAAACCACAAAUACACACAACACAGAGUUUUCUGAAGCAUUUCUAUUCAUCUCUUGUUUAUCUCUCCAGACAAACACUUUCAGUAUGUGCUACUAUGCAAAUCUCUUCCUUUUGAAGAACAGUUGGAGUCUGUUUAUUUCUUCUUGAUCAUCUGGAGAUGACCAAUGAGUAUAAACAGCAGGUCAAACUACAUAAAUGCCAGUUUCUAUGUUGUGAAAUUAACAACUUUACCCAGAGUUUUACUAUGGGCAUGUAAGACGUUAGAAUUGGCCAGAUAAGUUCAACCAUAAUGAGACAUGUAAAACCUGUUUCUACCUACUGUAUGUACAUUUCCAUAAAGGCUACAUCUAAGUUUGUGGAUAUGUUGAACAGACCAAUUUUUGUUUUGGUAGUCAGUCAAUCAGUUCAGCGAUACAAACUACGCUGCUCUGGUUCUUCCACCUUUAGCUGGAGGUUUUUUGUCUGAGUCAUGGAUUAUGCUCAAGGCCCUUGCAUGAUUUUACUUCUGGUAGGGGGUCAGAAUCAGUUUCAAGUCAUCACUGGAUUUUACAUGGAAAUAGUUUCAGUUUUUGCAACAGAUCCAAUUUACAGAUGCAUGUCCUGUAACUGGUUUAAUAGGCUGCAGCACCAGUUCCUGAAGAUGCUUUAGUAUGUUAAAAGAUCAUUUAACUAUAGCGCCAUGCUUAUGCUUCAGCUAUACUGUAGACAUAUUUAUUUAUUUAUUAGGACAAUGUGCAUUAAUCAACAUUUCUUUAAAUGCGCCAAUGUUAGCCAAUGCAGCUAAUUUUCAACUGUAGUCCUAGUUAAUUAGUAUACUGUGCCAACAUUUCCCCUCAUAUGUGAUUAACACUACUGACAGGACAGAGCUGCCCAGUGGACACGGAGACAACUUUCUGUUGAAAGCCUGUAAAAAUGUGUCGACUAUCAUGGGACCUUAAGUGCCUUACGCUGUUAGCAACACGCUAAUGUUGGGCCGGCAUCAAUGUUUGGUUGACAAAAUAGCAAUAUUAUCUGGUCAGUUGGUCAAAAUGAAUCAACUCUGAUCAUUUUCAAAAUGUUGUGGCAGCAUGGGGCCAACGGUGGUCUUUGGUUGCUUAAAGGCCUUCAUUUGUUUGCUAUCUGGGUAAUCUCUGAGGAGACCCAGUACUGCUUUCUUUGCUAGCUGAGAAUAAAUUGUUUACAGAGCUAAAUUAACUGGUUGUAGUUAAUCUACAAGUAGAGGUCCUUAAAUAUAUUUUCAUAAGCAAACAGUUUUCUUUAUUUUCCAGUUCAGGAGGAUCUGGGCUGCUAGCCUGUCCGGCUGCACUGCCCCAGUCCUCCAAUGAGAAAUGUUUCAGCUAUAAUAAAUUGUGAUUAAAAUCAUAAAAGU